UACGUAGGGGGCUAGCGUUGUCCGGAAUCAUUGGGCGUAAAGCGCGUGUAGGCGGUCCGGUAAGUCCGCUGUGAAAGUCGGGGGCUCAACCCUCGAGUGCCGGUGGAUACUGUCGGGCUAGAGUGCGGAAGAGGCGAGUGGAAUUCCUGGUGUAGCGGUGGAAUGCGCAGAUAUCAGGAGGAACACCAAUAGCGAAGGCAGCUCGCUGGGACGGUACUGACGCUAAGGCGCGAAAGCGUGGGGAGCGAACAGG
rnacentral:rRNA from 1 species